GAAAGCGGGGCAACCCGUGAGUAGAGUGGCGAACGGGUGAGUAGUGCAUUGGAAGGUAUCCCCAAGUGGGGGACAACCUCGAGAAAUAGAGGCUAAUACUGCAUACGCCCUGAGGGGGAAAGCGGGGGAUUACCAAGAACCUUGUGCUUUUGGAGCGGCCCAUGUCGGAUUAGCUAGUUGGUGGGGUAAGAGCCCACCAAGGGGAAGAUUCGUAGCUGGUUUGAGAGGAUGAUCAGCCACAAUGGGAAUGAGACACGGCCGAAAAUCCUACGGGAGGCUGCCGUGGGAGAUUCUAGAAAUCUCCUACAUAUUUCAG
rnacentral:sRNA from 1 species